rnacentral:rRNA from 1 species
GAUGAACGCUGGCGGCGUGCCUAAUACAUGCAAGUCGAGCGAACGGACGAGAAGCUUGCUUCUCUGAUGUUAGCGGCGGACGGGUGAGUAACACGUGGAUAACCUACCUAUAAGACUGGGAUAACUUCGGGAAACCGUAGCUAAUACCGGAUAAUAUUUUGAACCGCAUGGUUCAAAGGUGAAAGACGGUCUUGCUGUCACUUAUAGAUGGAUCCGCGCUGCAUUAGCUAGUUGGUAAGGUAACGGCUUACCAAGGGAACGAUGCAUAGCCGACCUGAUAGGGUGAUCGGCCACACUGGAACGGAGACACGGUCCAGACUCCUACGGGAGGCAGCAGUAGGGAAUCUUCCGCAAUGGGCGAAAGCCUGACGGAGCAACGCCGCGUGAGUGAUGAAGGUCUUCGGAUCGUAAAACUCUGUUAUUAGGGAAGAACAUAUGUGUAAGUAACUGUGCACAUCUUGACGGUACCUAAUCAGAAAGCCACGGCUAACUACGUG